AUUCCAGCUCCAAUAGCGUAUAUUAAAGUUGUUGCGGUUAAAAAGCUCGUAGUUGGAUUUCUGCUGAGGACGACCGGUCCGCCCUCUGGGUGAGUAUCUGGCUCGGCCUUGGCAUCUUCUUGGGGAACGUAACUGCACUUGACUGUGUGGUGCGGUAUCCAGGACUUUUACUUUGAGGAAAUUAGAGUGUUUCAAGCAGGCGCACGCCUUGAAUACAUUAGCAUGGAAUAAUAAGAUAGGACCUUGGUUCUAUUUUGUUGGUUUCUAGAGCUGAGGUAAUGAUUAAUAGGGACAGUUGGGGGUAUUCGUAUUCCGUUGUCAGAGGUGAAAUUCUUGGAUUUACGGAAGACGAACUACUGCGAAAGCAUUUACCAAGGAUGUUCUCAUUA
rnacentral:rRNA from 1 species